AGAGUUUGAUCCUGGCUCAGAAUGAACGCUGGCGGCGUGCUUAACACAUGCAAGUCGCACGAGAACGAUCCAGCUUGCUGGAACAAGUAAAGUGGCGCACGGGUGAGUAACGCGUGGGUGAUCUACCCUUGAAUUUGGGAUAACUCUUCGAAAGGGGAGCUAAUACCGGAUAACAUCUCAUUUUUUUCGAAAUAUGAGAUCAAAGAUGGCCUCUCCAUGGAAGCUAUUGUUUGAGGAUGAGCCCGCGUACCAUUAGCUAGUUGGUAGGGUAAUGGCCUACCAAGGCGACGAUGGUUAGCUGGUCUGAGAGGAUGACCAGUCACACUGGAACUGACACACGGUCCAGACUCCUACGGGAGGCAGCAGUGAGGAAUUUUGCGCAAUGGGGGAAACCCUGACGCAGCAACGCCGCGUGAGUGAUGAAGGCCUUCGGGUCGUAAAGCUCUGUCAAGUGGGAAGAACCUACCUAUGGGUAAUAUUCAUGGGUACUGACGGUACCACUGAAGGAAGCACCGGCUAACUCCGUGCCAGCAGCCGCGGUAAUACGGGGGGUGCAAGCGUUAUUCGGAAUUAUUGGGCGUAAAGGGCGCGUAGGCGGUCCUGUUAGUCAGAUGUGAAAGCCCGGGGCUCAACCCCGGAAGUGCAUUUGAAACGGCAGGACUUGAGUAUGGGAGAGGGAAGUGGAAUUCCUGGUGUAGAGGUGAUAUUCGUAGAUAUCAGGAGGAACAUCUGUGGCGAAGGCGACUUCCUGGACCAAUACUGACGCUGAGGCGCGAAGGCGUGGGUAGCAAACAGGAUUAGAUACCCUGGUAGUCCACGCAGUAAACGGUGAUCACUAGGUGUAGCGGGUAUUGACCCCUGCUGUGCCGGAGUUAACGCAUUAAGUGAUCCGCCUGGGGAGUACGAUCGCAAGAUUAAAACUCAAAGGAAUUGACGGGGGCCCGCACAAGCGGUGGAGCAUGUGGUUUAAUUCGACCAACGCGAAGAACCUUACCUGGAUUUGACAUCCCGGGAAUCCCUUAGAAAUUUGGGAGUGCCCUUCGGGGAACCUGGAGACAGGUGCUGCAUGGCUGUCGUCAGCUCGUGUCGUGAGAUGUUGGGUUAAGUCCCGCAACGAGCGCAACCCUUAUCUUUAGUUACCAGCAUUUCGGAUGGGGACUCUAGAGAUACUGCCCCGGUCAACGGGGAGGAAGGUGGGGAUGACGUCAAGUCCUCAUGGCCUUUAUGUCCAGGGCUACACACGUGCUACAAUGGGCGGAACAAAGGGUAGCAAUACCGCGAGGUGGAGCUAAUCUCAAAAAGCCGUCCCAAGUUCGGAUUGGAGUCUGCAACUCGACUCCAUGAAGCUGGAAUCGCUAGUAAUCGCGGAUCAGCAUGCCGCGGUGAAUACGUUCCCGGGCCUUGUACACACCGCCCGUCACACCAUGAGAGUUGGUUGUACCAGAAGUUGUUGGGCUAACCUUUCGAGGAGGCAGGCACCUAAGGUAUGGCUGAUGAUUGGGGUGAAGUCGUAACAAGGUA
rnacentral:rRNA from 1 species